rnacentral:sRNA from 12 species
AUGCCUUGUGAUAAAGGUACAAUAAUUUCAUCAUAAUUACAAUAGAAAAGAUGUCAAAAAGGAAUUAUGAUAGUUU